AGUCACUGACAUUAGAUACCCGUGUAGUCCAGGGUGUAAACGCUGCAGACUUGGUGUUGGAGGCCCUUUGGGGGCAUUCAGUGCCGGAGAGAAGUUGUUAAGUCUGCUACUUGGGGAGUACGUCCGCAAGGAUGAAACUUAAAGGAAUUGGCGGGGGAGCACCGCAACGGGAGGAGCGUGCGGUUUAAUUGGAUUCAACACCGUAAACUCACCAGGGAAGACUGUUACAUGAAAGUCAGGUUGAUGACCUUACUAGAUUUUCAG
rnacentral:rRNA from 1 species